UUGUUAUGGCUGCUCUAGGAAACGAAUCUGAUGUGUUCUCCCUAAGGUGCAGCUAGCUGUUACCUUCUUCCUCUUACAGAAAAGACUGGACGUGUGGAUGGGCUUCUCAGGGAGAGGAGCAGGGGCGUCCCUGGAGGGAGCCCCCAGAAUGCUGAUGCCACGGACGGGCCACACAAGUGCCGCGACUGUCUAACUCCACCGAAUGUGUAAUUAUAGCAACACAAGCAUCAAAUUACCAGGGACAAGUAGCUGCCAAGUAAUUAUAUGAUUCUUUGUUACUUGGAGGGUUGGGGUUUCCCCCACAUUUAAAGCCGAUUCCUUUAAAAGCUCCGGUUCAGUGGGC
rnacentral:lncRNA from 1 species